rnacentral:rRNA from 1 species
GACGAACGCUGGCGGCGUGCUUAACACAUGCAAGUCGAACGGAAAGGCCCUGCUUUUGUGGGGUGCUCGAGUGGCGAACGGGUGAGUAACACGUGAGUAACCUGCCCUUGACUUUGGGAUAACUUCAGGAAACUGGGGCUAAUACCGGAUAGGAGCUCCUGCAGCAUGGUGGGGGUUGGAAAGUUUCGGCGGUUGGGGAUGGACUCGCGGCUUAUCAGCUUGUUGGUGGGGUAGUGGCUUACCAAGGCUUUGACGGGUAGCCGGCCUGAGAGGGUGACCGGCCACAUUGGGACUGAGAUACGGCCCAGACUCCUACGGGAGGCAGAAGUGGGGAAUAUUGCACAAUGGGCGGAAGCCUGAUGCAGCAACGCCGCGUGCGGGAUGACGGCCUUCGGGUUGUAAACCGCUUUCGCCUGCGACGAAGCGUGAGUGACGGUAAUGGGUAAAGAAGCACCGGCUAACUACGUG